rnacentral:rRNA from 1 species
CCGGUGCUGGAAGGUUAAGGGGAUCUGUUAGAGCAAUCGAAGCAGUGAACUUAAGCCCCAGUAAACGGCGGCCGUAACUAUAACGGUCCUAAGGUAGCGAAAUUCCUUGUCGGGUAAGUUCCGACCCGCACGAAAGGCGGAACGAUUUGGGCACUGUCUCAACAACAGACUCGGUGAAAUUGUAAUUCCGGUGAAGAUGCCGGAUACCUGCGACAGG